UACAGAGGUCUCAACCGUUGUUCGGAUUCGUUGGGCGUAAAGGGUGCGUAGGCGGCCCGUUAAGUCAGUGGUGAAAGCCUCCAGCUCAACUGGAGAACUGCCAUUGAUACUGGCGGGCUUGAGUACAGACGAGGUAGGCGGAAUUGAUUGUGUAGCGGUGAAAUGCAUAGAUACAAUCAAGAACACCGAUUGCGUAGGCAGCUUACUAGGCUGUAACUGACGCUGAGGCACGAAAGCGUGGGGAGCGAACAGG
rnacentral:rRNA from 1 species